rnacentral:rRNA from 1 species
AACGAACGCUGGCGGCGUGCUUAACACAUGCAAGUCGAACGAAGUGGCGAACGGGUGAGUAAUGCGUAAUCAACCUGCCCUUCAGGGGGGGACAACAGUUGGAAACGACUGCUAAUACCGCAUACUGAAGGAGGGGAGUGAGUCUGAUUAGGUCGUUGGAGGGGUAACGGCCCACGAAGGCGAUGAUCAGUAGCCGGUCUGAGAGGGUGAACGGCAACAAUGGGACUGAGACACGGCACAGACUCCUACGGGAGGCAGCAGUGGGGAAUCUUCCGACAUGGACGAAAGUCUGACGGAGCAACGCCGCGUGAGUGAUGACGGCCUUCGGGUUGUAAAGCUCUGUUAAUCGGGACGCGGUACCGGAAUAGAAAGCCACGGCUAACUACGUGCCAGCAGCCGCGGUAAUUC